AGUAAAUAGAUACCCGGGUAGUCCACGCCGUAAACGAUGAGUACUAGGUGUAGGAGGUAUCGACUCCUUCUGUGCCGCAGUUAAACACAAUAAGUACUCCGCCUGGGAAGUACGGUCGCAAGAUUAAAACUCAAAGGAAUUGACGGGGGCCCGCACAAGCAGCGGAGCAUGUGGUUUAAAUUCGAAGCAACGCGAAGAACCUUACCUAGACUUGACAUCUCCUGAAUAGUGUAGAGAUACAUGAAGCCCUUCGGGGCAGGAAGACAGGUGGUGCAUGGUUGUCGUCAGCUCGUGUCGUGAGAUGUUGGGUUAAAUCCCGCAACGAGCGCAACCCUUAUUACUAGUUGCUACCAUUAAGUUGAGCACUCUAGUGAGACUGCCCGGGUUAACCGGGAGGAAGGC
rnacentral:rRNA from 1 species